CACCGGUGACCUACAUGGCUGUCAAAAGAUUAAUCUAAUGCUAUUUUGUGUAAAAUUUUCGCGAUAUUGCAAUUUUCGAACUGAAUGAUUUCGCUUACGUAAAUUAAUCAAAUUAAAUUUUAUCUAAUUUCAAAUUGAUUAAAAUUUCAAAGUGUGACAAUAUUUUUGGCAACAUUUUUAGUUACUUGAAAGUAUAAUUUAAAUUAUGCAGUAUUAAGAGGCGAAAUGCAACAUGACAUGUCAUACAGCCGGCUAAAACGGAAAAAUAUUAAAACGAAAAUUUCUUAAUUAUUAAGUACAAUACGUGUGAUAUUGACGAUGUAAGAAACAAAUGAAUUAAACGUGUAUUGUUACAAGACAACAGACGGAUGGGCAUCCGACAAAUGAAAUAUAUGGCGUUUCUUCACUAUAACGAAAUAAAACAAUGUAGUGAACAGUUAUAACUGCAAGGUCACACUUGUAACAAUUGUAACCUCUGUGCUUAGUGCGAGUUUUUUAACAUUCGCGAUAGCCAGAGCCGGAUUUAAACUUAAUGCCGCUCCUGGCCACCGGAAAAAAAUCCGCCCCAAUACUGGAAUUUUACUUAAACUUAGAAAAUACGAAAACCAAUUAUUAUUUUAAAUCUCCAAGGAAGUAAAUUGAUUAAAUCAUUUUAUUAAUUUUUACCAAAGGAAACGAAUAAACUGCGAGAGAUUCUAAAUAAUUAUUAUAAAUAUGUGAUGGGAACAGUUCCCGAAGAGAGACUGCCACAGAAAACAUGCCUUUUAAGGAUCUUUAAUAAUAUUAAGAAUCUACCACCGGAUCGGAAACGCGACCCACUGAGAAGAUCCGGCGAGAAAUUCAAUGGGUAUAUUGCUACCAUUUCCAUUAUUAGACGACUAUUUUUGAACCCCAAAAUUGUAUGGAAUGUUAAAGCGGUACACAUAUAUAAUUAUCAACUUUUAUAUAUAAGCAUGAACUUAAGUAGGUGAACCUGUGUAGGAACAUGAGUAGGUUCCAAAAGAUUGCAAUAUGCGUGUG